AGAGUUUGAUCAUGGCUCAGAACGAACACUGGCGGCGUGGAUUAGGCAUGCAAGUCGAACGAGAAAGUUCCCUUCGGGGAAUGAGUACAGUGGCGAACGGGUGAGUAACGCGUGGGAAACCUGCCCUUCUAUGGGGGAUAACAGUUCUAACGAGCUGCUAAUACCGCAUACGACCCUUGGAUCGCAUGGUUCGAGGUUGAAAGGUGGCCUCUCUUUGAAGCUGCCGUAGAAGGAUGGUCCCGCGUCCCAUUAGCUUGUUGGUGGGGUAAUGGCCUACCAAGGCGACGAUGGGUAGCCGGCCUGAGAGGGUGACCGGCCACACUGGGACUGAGAUACGGCCCAGACUCCUACGGGAGGCAGCAGUCGAGAAGCUUCGGCAAUGGGCGAAAGCCUGACCGAGCGACGCCGCGUGAGCGAAGAAGGCCCUUUGGGUUGUAAAGCUCUGUCAGAUUGGGAAGAAAACCUUACGGUUAAUACCCGUGAGGCUUGACGGUACCUUCAGAGGAAGCACCGGCUAACUCCGUGCCAGCAGCCGCGGUAAUACGGAGGGUGCAAGCGUUGUUCGGAUUCACUGGGUAUAAAGGGUGCGCAGGCGGCUUGAUAAGUCAGGGGUGAAAUAGGACGGCUUAACCGUCAAACUGCCUCUGAAACUGUCAGGCUUGAGUUCGGGAGAGGAAGGUGGAAUUCCUGGUGUAGCGGUGAAAUGCGUAAAUAUCAGGAGGAACACCGGUGGCGAAGGCGGCCUUCUGGCCCGAAACUGACGCUCAGGCACGAAAGCCAGGGGAGCGAACGGGAUUAGAUACCCCGGUAGUCCUGGCCGCAAACGAUGGGCACUAGGUGUUGGAGGAUUCUACCCCUUCAGUGCCGCAGCUAACGCAUUAAGUGCCCCACCUGGGGAGUACGAUCGCAAGGUUGAAACUCAAAGGAAUUGACGGGGGCCCGCACAAGCGGUGGAGCAUGUGGUUUAAUUCGAUGCAACGCGAAGAACCUUACCUGGGCUUGACAUGCAGGGGACAGGUGUAGAAAUACAUCCUUCUUCGGACCCCUGUACAGGUGCUGCAUGGCUGUCGUCGGCUCGUGUCGUGAAAUGUUGGGUUAAGUCCCGCAACGAGCGCAACCCCUGUUUUCAGUUGCCAUCAGGUUAUGCUGGGGACUCUGGAGAGACUGCCGGUGAUAAACCGGAGGAAGGUGGGGACGACGUCAAGUCAUCAUGGCCCUUACGCUCAGGGCUACACACGUGCUACAAUGGCUGGUACAAAGGGCUGCAAUACCGCGAGGUGGAGCGAAUCCCAAAAAGCCAGUCUCAGUUCGGAUUGGAGUCUGCAACUCGACUCCAUGAAGUUGGAAUCGCUAGUAAUCGCGUAUCAGAACGACGCGGUGAAUACGUUCCCGGGCCUUGUACACACCGCCCGUCAAGUCAACCGAGUUGGCUGCACCCCAAGUCGCUGAGCUAACCCGUAAGGGAGGCAAGUGCCCAAGGUGUGGUUGAUAAGGGGGACUAAGUCGUAACAAGGUA
rnacentral:rRNA from 1 species